rnacentral:rRNA from 1 species
AUUUCCCUCUUUCUUUAGGCCUAACACAUGCAAGUCGAACGGCAGCACAGUAAGAGCUUGCUCUUACGGGUGGCGAGUGGCGGACGGGUGAGGAAUACAUCGGAAUCUACUUUUUCGUGGGGGAUAACGUAGGGAAACUUACGCUAAUACCGCAUACGACUUACGGGUGAAAGCAGGGGAUCUUCGGACCUUGCGCGAUUGAAUGAGCCGAUGUCGGAUUAGCUAGUUGGCGGGGUAAAGGCCCACCAAGGCGACGAUCCGUAGCUGGUCUGAGAGGAUGAUCAGCCACACUGGAACUGAGACACGGUCCAGACUCCUACGGGAGGCAGCAGUGGGGAAUAUUGGACAAUGGGCGCAAGCCUGAUCCAGCCAUACCGCGUGGGUGAAGAAGGCCUUCGGGUUGUAAAGCCCUUUUGUUGGGAAAGAAAAGCAGCAGGUUAAUACCCCGCUGUUCUGACGGUACCCAAAGAAUAAGCACCGGCUAACUUCGUG